rfam:Gossypium arboreum cultivar AKA8401 contig_121843_1, whole genome shotgun sequence.
AACCCAUGGUGAGGGCACCUUCUUAGUAAAUCCUUGUAUCUUUCCCAUGCAUCGUAAAGUGUUUCUAAAUCCAUCUGCACAAAAGAAGAGCUAUCAUUACGUAAUUU